rnacentral:rRNA from 1 species
CCUACGGGAGGCAGCAGUGGGGAAUAUUGGACAAUGGGGGGAACCCUGAUCCAGCCAUGCCGCGUGUAUGAAGAAGGCCCUCGGGUUGUAAAGCACUUUCAGUGAGGAAGAACGCCUGGUGGUUAAUACCCAUCAGGAAAGACAUCACUCACAGAAGAAGCACCGGCUAACUCCGUGCCAGCAGCCGCGGUAAUACGGAGGGUGCGAGCGUUAAUCGGAAUUACUGGGCGUAAAGCGCGCGUAGGUGGCUUGAUAAGCCGGUUGUGAAAGCCCCGGGCUCAACCUGGGAACGGCAUCCGGAACUGUCAAGCUAGAGUGCAGGAGAGGAAGGUAGAAUUCCCGGUGUAGCGGUGAAAUGCGUAGAGAUCGGGAGGAAUACCAGUGGCGAAGGCGGCCUUCUGGACUGACACUGACACUGAGGUGCGAAAGCGUGGGUAGCAAACAGGAUUAGAUACCCUAGUAGUC